rnacentral:rRNA from 1 species
CUGUACGAUUGAUGGCUUAGUGAGGCCUCAGGAUUUGCUUAGAGAAGGGGGCAACUCCAUCUCAGAGCGGAGAAUCUGGUCAAACUUGGUCAUUUAGAGGAACUAAAAGUCGUAACAAGGUUUCCGUAGGUGAACCUGCGGAAGGAUCAUUAAAGAAUUUUGUUAGAGCAGCCGGGAAAGUUCAGAAGCCUGCGCUUGAUUGCGCGGCCGAUGAUGCUUUCUGUUAACGACUGUCUCUCUACACACACACUGUGGAGUAAUUUAUUUUACAACGCUUCUUCUUUGGGCUUUACGGCCCAAGGGUUACAAACACAAACAACUAUUGUAUUUUAAACAUUGUCAAUUAUUUUUCAUUUUAGAAAAAAAAUAUUUAAAACUUUCAACAACGGAUCUCUUGGUUCUCGCAUCGAUGAAGAACGCAGCGAAAUGCGAUAAGUAUUGUGAAUUGCAGAUAUUCGUGAAUCAUCGAAUCUUUGAACGCACAUUGCGCCCUCUGGUAUUCCAGGGGGCAUGCCUGUUUGAGCGUCAUUUCCUUCUCAAACCCUCGGGUUUGGUAGUGAGUGGUACUCUUUCUGGGUUAACUUGAAAAUGCUGGCCAUCUGGCUGUUGCUGACUGAGGUUUUAGUCCAGUCCGCUGAUACUCUGCGUAUUAGGUUUUACCAACUCGUAGUGGCGUUAGUAGGCGUUUUAAAGGCUUUUACUGAAAGUACAGACAGUCUGGCAAACAGUAUCAUAAAGUUGACCUCAAAUCAGUAGGAAACAAGACCUCAAAUCAGGUAGGAUUACCCGCUGAACUUAAGCAUAUCAAUAAGCGGAGGAAAAGAAACCAACCGGGAUUGCCUUAGUAACGGCGAGUGAAGCGGCAAAAGCUCAAAUUUGAAAUCUGGCACCUUCGGUGUCCGAGUUGUAAUUUGAAGAAGCUACUUUGGGGCUAGUCCUUGUCUAUGUUCCUUGGAACAGGACGUCAUGGAGGGUGAGAAUCCCGUAUGGCGAGGAGUCUAGUCCUAUGUAAAGUGCUUUCGACGAGUCGAGUUGUUUGGGAAUGCAGCUCUAAGUGGGUGGUAAAUUCCAUCUAAAGCUAAAUAUUGGCGAGAGACCGAUAGCGAACAAGUACAGUGAUGGAAAGAUGAAAAGAACUUUGAAAAGAGAGUGAAAAAGUACGUGAAAUUGUUGAAAGGGAAGGGCAUUUGAUCAGACAUGGUGUUUUGCGACCCUCGCUCCUUGUGGGUGGGGAUCUCGCAGCUCACUGGGCCAACAUCAGUUUUGGCGGUAGGAUAAAUCUUUGGGAACGUGGCUUGUCUUCGGAGAAGCGUUAUAGCCCAGGGGAAUACUGCCAGCCGGGACUGAGGACUGCGACUU